rnacentral:rRNA from 1 species
GACGAACGCUGGCGGCGUGCUUAACACAUGCCAGUCGAACGGAAAGGCCCUGCUUUUGUGGGGUGCUCGAGUGGCGAACGGGUGAGUAACACGUGAGUAACCUGCCCUUGACUUUGGGAUAACUUCAGGAAACUGGGGCUAAUACCGGAUAGGAGCUCCUGCUGCAUGGUGGGGGUUGGAAAGUUUCGGCGGUUGGGGAUGGACUCGCGGCUUAUCAGCUUGUUGGUGGGGUAGUGGCUUACCAAGGCUUUGACGGGUAGCCGGCCUGAGAGGGUGACCGGCCACAUUGGGACUGAGAUACGGCCCAGACUCCUACGGGAGGCAGCAGUGGGGAAUAUUGCACAAUGGGCGGAAGCCUGAUGCAGCAACGCCGCGUGCGGGAUGACGGCCUUCGGGUUGUAAACCGCUUUCGCCUGUGACGAAGCGUGAGUGACGGUAAUGGGUAUAGAAGCACCGGCUAACUACGUG